UGGUGCGCUUACGGCAACCCAAAAGACUGCCAAAAUCAACUGUCAAGAGAAACUCGUGCUUGCCUCACUUCAGUUUCCCCAGCGCCAGUGUGUGUCAGACUUCAGUUUAUGCAGAUGUGCUGCUGCUGAAGUCACCCGGUGGAGGAACUUGUUUUUUGACAGGCAUACUACAGAUGCUGUGCUGCGAACGGACACUGCAGUCACCUGUGGGAGGGGUCAAUCAAAUCGGAUCUCAAAAACAGGUACCAAAUUUUAAUAACACCCCUCCCCCCUCUCCCGUCUAUUACUCUAUUAAUCAAGUGCAUUUGUGCCGCCACUUGGCCAGGACACCCUUGUUAAAAGAGAUUUUUAAUCUCAACAGGUUUAUUUUCCUGGUUAAAUAAAGGUUAAAUAAAAGAAGAAAAAAAAUGUAAUGCCACUGUUUUCAAAGUUACUUUUGCAUGUAGUAAUUCAAUUUGG